GCCCUUGUAGUAUAAAUAAAUACACCAGUCUUGUAAACCGGAAAUGGACACUCCUCCCAAGGACA
rnacentral:tRNA from 1 species